AGCUGCAGGCAUCUUUCUGAAACUUGCGUAGAAAAAUGUGCAGUCUGGUCACAGUUGAGGACAGGCUGUAAGGGGGAACUCGGGAGGACCGGAAGUUGUCUUGUCCUCCUGCCAAUCAGAACACCGCUAUUGUCUGAAUGCGGAAGUUGGAUAAUGAGCUUCUGAAGCCCCUGCUGCUGCUCCUGUCUCUCUGAAUGAAGAUUGAGCUUUACCCCAAACUGCAACUUUCUUCCUCUGUCCAACAACUAAAGAGCGGGAGCACCAGGGGGAAGUGACGACGACCAGAG